UGAAAUGAUCCUCCAAACAAGAUUCUUGUGACACGUGUCACAAGAAUCUUGUUUGGAGGAUCUGAGGA
rnacentral:pre_miRNA from 1 species